rnacentral:sRNA from 1 species
GCUGGGUGUGGUGAUGCAUGCCUGUAAUCCCAGCUACUUGGGAGGUUGAGGCAGGAGAAUCGCUUGAACCUGGGAGGCAUAGGUUGCAGUGAGCCGAUUUUAUGCCACUGCACUCCAGCCUGGGCGACAAAGUGAGACCUUGUCUCCA